UCCUACGGGGGGCAGCAGUGGGAUAUUGCACAAUGGGGGAAACCCUGAUGCAGCGACGCCGCGUGUGGGAAGACGGUCCUCUGGAUUGUAAACCACUGUCCCCAGGGACGAAAAUGACGGUACCUGGGGAGGAAGCUCCGGCUAACUACGUGCCAGCAGCCGCGGUAAUACGUAGGGAGCGAGCGUUGUCCGGAAUUACUGGGUGUAAAGGGAGCGUAGGCGGGGAUGCAAGUUGGGUGUCAAAACUACCGGCUCAACUCGUAGUCGCACUCAAAACUGCAGCUCUUGAGUGAAGUAGAGGCAGG
rnacentral:rRNA from 1 species